rnacentral:rRNA from 1 species
UACGUAGGGAGCAAGCGUUGUCCGGAAUCAUUGGGCGUAAAGCGCGCGUAGGCGGCCCGAUAAGUCCGUUGUGAAAGUCAAAGGCUCAACCUUUGAAUGCCGAUGGAUACUGUCGGGCUAGAGUCCGGAAGAGGCGAGUGGAAUUCCUGGUGUAGCGGUGGAAUGCGCAGAUAUCAGGAGGAACGCCAAUUGCGAAGGCAGCUCGCUGGGACGUUACUGACGCUGAGACGCGAAAGCGUGGGGAGCAAACAGG